GAUGAACGCUGGCGGCGUGCCUAAUACAUGCAAGUCGAGCGAACGGACGAGAAGCUUGCUUCUCUGAUGUUAGCGGCGGACGGGUGAGUAACACGUGGAUAACCUACCUAUAAGACUGGGAUAACUUCGGGAAACCGGAGCUAAUACCGGAUGAUAUUUUGAACCGCAUGGUUCAAAAGUGAAAGACGGUCUUGCUGUCACUUAUAGAUGGAUCCGCGCUGUAUUAGCUAGUUGGUAAGGUAACGGCUUACCAAGGCAACGAUGCAUAGCCGACCUGAGAGGGGGAUCGGCCACACUGGAACUGAGACACGGUCCAGACUCCUACGGGAGGCAGCAGUAGGGAAUCUUCCGCAAUGGGCGAAAGCCUGACGGAGCAAAGCCGCGUGAGUGAUGAAGGUCUUCGGAUCGUAAAACUCUGUUAUUAGGGAAGAACAUAUGUGUAAGUAACUGGGCACAUCUUGAAGGUACCUAAUCAGAAAGCCACGGCUAACUACGUG
rnacentral:rRNA from 1 species